AUAGCUCAGUGGUAGAGUGUGAGUUUAGCAUGCACGAGGUCCUGGGUUCAAUUCCCAGU
rnacentral:tRNA from 1 species